rnacentral:rRNA from 1 species
GACGGAAGGUGCAAGCGUUGCUCGGAAUCACUGGGCGUAAAGGGUGCGUAGGCGGCCGUGCAAGUCUGGCGUGAAAGCCCCGGGCUCAGCCCGGGAAGUGCGCUCGAAACUGCGCGGCUCGAGUGCCGGAGGGGAGAAUGGAAUUCCUGGUGUAGCGGUGAAAUGCGCAGAUAUCAGGAAGAACACCGGUGGCGAAGGCGGUGGUCUGGGCCGGCACUGACGCUGAGGAGCGAAAGCGUGGGGAGCGAACAGG